ACGGGACUCUUCGGAGUUCAGUGGCGGACGGGUGAGUAACGCGUGAGAAUCUGCCUAGAGGAUGGGGACAACCACGGGAAACUGUGGCUAAUACCCAAUGAGCGGAGACGUUAAAGAUUUAUCGCCUCUAGAGGAGCUCGCGUCUGAUUAGCUAGUUGGUGGGGUAAAAGCCUACCAAGGCGACGAUCAGUAGCUGGUCUGAGAGGACAACCAGCCACACUGGGACUGAGACACGGCCCAGACUCCUACGGGAGGCAGCAGUGGGGAAUUUUCCGCAAUGGGCGAAAGCCUGACGGAGCAAUACCGCGUGAGGGAGGAAGGCUCUUGGGUCGUAAACCUCUUUUCUCAGGGAAGAAGAAAGUGACGGUACCUGAGGAAUCAGCCUCGGCUAACUCCGUGCCAGCAGCCGCGGUAAUACGGAGGAGGCAAGCGUUAUCCGGAAUUAUUGGGCGUAAAGCGUCCGUAGGUGGCUCUUCAAGUCUGCUGUCAAAGAGUGGGGCUUAACUCCAGAAAGGCAGUGGAAACUGAAAGGCUAGAGAGCCGUAGGGGUAGAGGGAAUUCCCGGUGUAGCGGUGAAAUGCGUAGAGAUCGGGAAGAACAUCGGUGGCGAAAGCGCUCUACUGGACGGUAUCUGACACUGAGGGAUGAAAGCUAGGGGAGCGAAUGGGAUUAGAUACCCCAGUAGUC
rnacentral:rRNA from 1 species